AAUGGUUAAAUCAUUACAGUUGUGACUGUUUUCCUUCAAACCUUAUCUUAUCUAUCCUUAGCAUAACAGUUCUUGCCACUCCCAAAAAUCUUAUCAAGAUAGAGCUUCUAAAUGAGCUAGGCAGAGGGACUAUAUCAGUGAUGUCCUUGCUCUCUGACGAAGAAUUCUAAGACACAGGCGUGUUCCAAGGACAUGGCUGACAUGAACCAGCCUUCAACCCCACUGGCUCUUGGUUAGAUGUGGACCUAACCUUUCAAAGACAUGGCAAAGAAACUGCAGUUCUUGAAUUCAAAUAAUUUCCCUAGUCUGUACUAUUCCCACAGUAAUGCUAUAAGGCCA
rnacentral:lncRNA from 1 species